AUGUAACAUUAGUUUUAUCAAUAAUUUUAACUUUCACAUCUUGCAUACCAUUAUGACCUUGAUAAAAAAAUGAGCAUACAAAUGCUCGCCUGCCAUACCCCUUUCACCUCUCCCAUAUCUAUUCAUGCUACUUUUGUGGUUGUUAAAACGUAUCCUAAAACUAGUAAUUGUACUCCCCACAUACUUUUUCCCACAUUUUCC